rnacentral:rRNA from 1 species
CAAUAGCGUAUAUUAAAGUUGUUGCAGUUAAAAAGCUCGUAGUUGGAUUUGUGGUUCGUCCCGCCGGCUGGGUCAUUGACCUUUGCUGUGCUGGUCGUCCAUCCUUGGGUGGAAUCUGUGUGGCAUUAGGUUGUCGUGCAGGGGAUGCCCAUCGUUUACUGUGAAAAAAUUAGAGUGUUCAAAGCAGGCUUAUGCCGUUGAAUAUAUUAGCAUGGAAUAAUGAUAUAGGACCUUGGUACUAUUUUGUUGGUUUGCGCACUGAGGUAAUGAUUAAUAGGGACAGUUGGGGGUAUUCGUAUUCCAUUGUAAGAGGUGAAAUUCUUGGAUUUUUGGAAGACGAACUACUGCGAAAGCAUUUACCAAGGAUGUUUUCAUUA